rnacentral:misc_RNA from 1 species
AGGCAAUACAAAAUUUUACAUGGUUCUACUUGUUGUGUACGCACAUGGGUGAAAAAGAAAAAAAAAUGCACUAUGGAAUAUACAAUUACAAGGUUGAGUGGAAGCUCUCAAACCCAAAGACCCCCUUCUACACCCAAAUAACUUAUACACUUGGCACACUUAUUGAAGAUCUCACUUUGUUCUCCAACUCUCCAUACCACACUUAAUGAUUCAUCAUGAAUGAAGAUCCACCAUAUCUUGACCAAAAUCUUAACGAAAGAUUCUAUUAAAUUUAUUGGAGACCCAUAGGUAAGGGGUGGAUUUGAUUGUGGGCUUAAAAGGGAGGAGAGAUGGGCCCUUACUGCAUAAA